UACGUAGGGUGCGAGCGUUAAUCGGAAUUACUGGGCGUAAAGCGUGCGCAGGCGGUGAUGUAAGACAGAUGUGAAAUCCCCGGGCUUAACCUGGGAACUGCGUUUGAAACUGGAAGGCUAGAGUGUGGCAGAGGGGGGUGGAAUUCCACGUGUAGCAGUGAAAUGCGUAGAGAUGUGGAGGAACACCGAUGGCGAAGGCAGCCCCCUGGGCUAACACUGACGCUCGAUGCACGAAAGCGUGGGGAGCAAACAGG
rnacentral:rRNA from 1 species